AUUGAACGCUGGCGGCAGGCCUAACACAUGCAAGUCGAACGGUAGCACAGAGAGCUUGCUCUCGGGUGACGAGUGGCGGACGGGUGAGUAAUGUCUGGGAAACUGCCCGAUGGAGGGGGAUAACUACUGGAAACGGUAGCUAAUACCGCAUAACGUCGCAAGACCAAAGUGGGGGACCUUCGGGCCUAACACCAUCGGAUGUGCCCAGAUGGGAUUAGCUAGUAGGUGGGGUAAUGGCUCACCUAGGCGACGAUCCCUAGCUGGUCUGAGAGGAUGACCAGCCACACUGGAACUGAGACACGGUCCAGACUCCUACGGGAGGCAGCAGUGGGGAAUAUUGCACAAUGGGCGCAAGCCUGAUGCAGCCAUGCCGUGUGUAUGAAGAAGGCCUUCGGGUUGUAAAGUACUUUCAGCGGGGAGGAAGGCGGUGAAGUUAAUAACUUCACCGAUUGACGUUACCCGCAGAAGAAGCACCGGCUAACUCCGUGCCAGCAGCCGCGGUAA
rnacentral:rRNA from 1 species